ensembl:lncRNA
UUUUUUUUUUUUUUUUUUUUUUUGCUUUUUAGGGCGGCAUCCACAGCACAUGGAGGUUCCCAGGCUAGGGGUCGAAUUGGAGCUGUAGCUGCCAGCCUACGCCACAGCCACAGCAAUGCAGGAUCCGAGCCAUGUCUGCAACCUACACCACACCUCACGGCAACACUGGAUCAUCAACCCACUGAGCAAGGGCAGGGAUCGAACUCACAACCUCAUGGUUCCUAGUCGGAUUCGUUAACCACUGCGCCAUGAUGGGAACUCCUUGUUUUGUUUUUUAAAGAGGGUGCUGGAAAGGAAAAGAAGGAAAUGUAGAAAACGAGAUCAACAAAUAGAUUCAAUAAUUUAUUGAAGUUGUCCUCUUUAAGACACUAACACAGGAAGCAAAAUACCUAUUUCACAUACAGUAGAAAAUCCAGGGAAAAGGAGACUCCAUUUUUUCCCAGCCUCUUUUAGUGCCUGUCUGCCACCCUCUGCAUCCCAUCUCCUGUUCACAGGACCCUCUCCCUCACCUCUCUGCUCACAGGCAGACCUUGCCCUGCUUCAAGUGCAACCAAAAGCGUGAAUCUCAGCAUAGCUGAUUUUAGCAAUCGGCCUAAAAUCCAAUUAGCCUCUUUUGUUCUUAAAAAUUUCUUCUGCAUCCCUGCCACUAGGAAUAACAAUUCCUCCUCCUCAUCUUCUGUGCCUCACCAUUUCCUGGGAAAGAGUAAGGUGAGGGAGGCUGAACGCCCCUUUUUGGGAUAAGCCAUCUCCAUUGUUCUAUAUUACGUAUGUUGAAGUCAGAUGAUGUAUCUUUUGGUUUAUGAGUGACUAGAGCAUGAGUUACACUGAUUCUUUUUCUUUCCUAGUAGAGUCAUAUUUUUAUUUUUUAUUAUUUUUAUACACAUUCUUUUUCUCACAUUACCUUCAAUCAUGUUCCAUCACAAGUGAUUAGCUAUAGUUCGCUGUGUGAUACAGCAGGACCUCAUUGCAUAGCCACUUCAAAUGCAAUAGCUUGCAUCUACUAACGCCAUACUUCCAGUCCAUCCCAUUCCCUCCCUCUCCCCCUUGGCAACCACAAGUCUGUUCUCUAUGUCCAUGAGUUUGUUUCUUUUCUGUAGAUAUUAGAUUCCAGAUAUGUGAUAUCAUAUGGUAUUUGUCUUUCUCUUUCUGGCUUGUUUUACUUCAGACAAUAUUACAAAGCUAUAGUAAUCAAGACAGUGUGAUACUGGUACAAAAACAGACAUACAGACCAAUGGAACAGAACAGAGAACCCAGAAAUAAACCCAGAUACCUACAGUCAAUUAAUCUUCGACAAAGGAGGCAAGAAGAUAAAAUGGGAAAAUACAGUCUUUUCAGCAAGUGGUGUUGGGAAAAUAGGACAGCUACAUGUAAACCAAUGAUGCUAGAACACACCCUCACACCAUAGACAAAAAUAAACUCAAAAUGUCUUAAAGACUUAAACAUAACAUGAGACACCAUAAAAUUCCUAGAAGAGAACAUAGGCAAAACAUUCUCUGACAUCAGCCAUACAAACGUUUUCUUAGGUCAGUCUCCCGAGGCAAUAGAACUAAAAACAAAAAUAAAUCAAAGGGACCUAAUCAAACUUAUCAGCUUUUGCACAGCAAAGGAAACCUUUAAAAACAAAAAGACAACCUAUGGAAUGGAAGAAAAAUAGUUGCAAACGAGCUACACAUUCUUAACGGAGAGGACAACUUAUCUCAUGAGGAUCCUGAACUUGGAGCUGGAUGUAGUAACUAGAUGAGACUGUGGUGUGGUCCCCACCAGAAAGGGGAAUGUGUUUGAUGCUCAGGGAGAAUGGCCUCUGAGAACUCUGGGCAGUCAAGGAAUGGGGAGAGGAAAAUCUCUUGGAUUAUCUACCUAAAAACUAUUCACCACACCCUUCCCCUUGACCUCCCAUCACUAGAGCUGAAAAGCUGAUUAUCCACCUUCCAGACAUGCUUGCACUUGGAAUGACUGAGUAACCCAGAGAUGGCCAGCGAGGCAUAAGUGGAAGUCACUCUUGAGACUUCUAGGAAAUAUGAUUGGUUUUUAAGGAACAAACUAGGCUGCCAUUCUUUUUAGCUCUUCCUUCUUUUUUGCUGACCCCUUCUUUUUUCUCUUAUAUGAACUAGGUGUACAAUAUCUGGAGGCCCAGCCAUUUUACAACAGUGAACAAGAAAUUGAAGAUGAUAGAACAGAAAGCUAGAAAGAGCCUCCAUGACAUCAUUGAGCAGCUCUUCCAGAUCCACACUUCUUUUUUUCCUUUUUAAUAGUCUUUUUUAAAUUAGAGUAUAGUUAAUUUACAGUAUUGUGUCAAUUCCCACUGUACAGCAAAGUGACCCAGUUAUACAUAUCCAUACUUUCUUUUUCUCAUACUAUCUUCCACCACGUUCUACCCCAAAGAGAUUGGAUAGAGUUCCUGUGCUGUACAGUAGGACCUCAUUGCUUAUUCAUGCUAAGUGUGAUAGUUUGCAUCUACCAACCCCAAACUCCCCGUCCUUCCCACUCCCUCCGCUUCCCCCCAGCAACCAGUAGUAGGUCCUCCACGUCUGUGAGUGUGUUUCUGUUUUGUAGAUACAAAACAGAUACACGUUCCUUACCCAAGGAAAACAAACUUGUAUCUGUUGGAAUUACUGUGACUGAAUUUUCUGUCCUUUGGAGUUGAAUUAAUUCCUACUUGAAGCAAUGUGAUGAAGUGCUCCAUAGUCACAAAGCACGCACUGUAGAAAGAAGGGUAUCUAUCAACCUGCUAAUGGAUUUUUCAUUUAAAAAGAAGUCCUGUGAUCAAAUGGUUUGGGAAACACCAAGUUAAACCUAAUUAAACCGCUGACAUUAUUUAAGGGCUAUAACAUCCUGCUUUCUGCCAAACUUAACCACAAACACCAUUUCAUGGUCUAUCUCAAUGCAUUAGUUUUACUAGAACAAAGUUUGGGAAAUUCGUUGUAUGAAAUAUCAAUAAUAUGUGAAAUAGUCAAUGACGUUGCUAAAUGAAAAAAACAGUUUAUAGAUCAAAUAUGUAUCUGUUCACUAAGGUUAUGUCUAGUGAAUAAUUUUAUCUAUCAAGCUACUUGUUUUCCUUUUCCAAACUCUCUAAAUAAAUUACCACUACUAUCCAUUAUUCCUAUAAC